CCUUCGAUAGCUCAGCUGGUAGAGCGGAGGACUGUAGACAGGACAAGCGUGGACAUCCUUAGGUCGCUGGUUCAAUUCCGGCUCGAAGGA
rfam:Loxodonta africana unplaced genomic scaffold scaffold_118, whole genome shotgun sequence.